UAAGGAAUAUUGGUCAAUGGACGCAAGUCUGAACCAGCCAUGCCGCGUGGAGGAUGAAGGUCCUCUGGAUUGUAAACUUCUUUUAUCUGGGACGAAAAAAGGCUUUUCUAAGUCGACUGACGGUACCAGAUGAAUAAGCACCGGCUAACUCCGUGCCAGCAGCCGCGGUAAUACGGAGGGUGCAAGCGUUAUCCGGAUUCACUGGGUUUAAAGGGUGCGUAGGCGGGUAUGUAAGUCCGUGGUGAAAUCUCCGAGCUUAACUCGGAAACUGCCAUGGGUACUGCGUAUCUUGAAUGUUGUGGAGGUGAGCGGAAUAUGUCAUGUAGCGGUGAAAUGCUUAGAUAUGACAUAGAACACCAAUUGCGAAGGCAGCUCACUACACAAAUAUUGACGCUGAGGCACGAAAGCGUGGGGAUCAAACAGG
rnacentral:rRNA from 1 species